GUGCUCACUUCGGCAGCACAUAUACUAAAAUUGGACCAAUACUGAGAAGAUUAGCAUAGCCUGUCCACAAAGAUGACAUGCAAAUUCAUAAGUUCCAUAUUUAA
rnacentral:snRNA from 1 species